UAGAAGUGUAAAUAUCCUUCCCCGAGGGAC
rnacentral:piRNA from 1 species